rnacentral:tRNA from 1 species
GGAGGGAUGGCCGAGCGGUCGAAGGCGGCGGUCUUGAAAACCGCAGCCCGGGAAACUGGGCCGGGGGUUCGAAUCCCUCUCCCUCCGCCA